GAUGAACGCUGACAGAAUGCUUAACACAUGCAAGUCAACUUGCAUUUGGGUUUUUAAUUUAGGUUUGGGGGGCGGACGGGUGAGUAACGCGUAAAGAACUUGCCUCCCAGCUAUGGACAACAUUUGGCAACGAAUGCUAAUACCUAAUAUUAUGAUCAUAGGGCAUCCUAUAAUUAGGAAACCUAUAAGCGCUCUGAGUGGGCUUUGCGUCCAACUAGCUAGUUGGCGAGGUAACGGAUCACCAAGGAGAUGAUGGGUAGCCAGCCUGAGAGGGUGAUCGGCCACAAGCGGACUGAGACACCGCCCGUGCUCCUACGGGAGGCAGCGGUGGGGAAUAUAUGACAAUGUACCAAGAGUCUGAUGCAGCAAUUCUGUGUGUACGACGAAGUUUUUCGGAAUGAAAAGCGGUUUCAGUUGGGAAGAAAGAAAUGACGGUACCAACAGAAGAAGUGACGGCUAAAUACGUG
rnacentral:rRNA from 1 species